CCUACGGGUGGCUGCAGUGGGGAAUAUUGGACAAUGGGGGCAACCCUGAUCCAGCCAUGCCGCGUGAAUGAUGAAGGCCUUCGGGUUGUAAAAUUCUUUUGGUGGGGACGAUGAUGACGGUACCCACAGAAUAAGCUCCGGCUAACUUCGUGCCAGCAGCCGCGGUAAUACGAAGGGGGCUAGCGUUGUUCGGAAUUACUGGGCGUAAAGGGCGCGUAGGCGGCUUGAUAAGUUGGAUGUGAAAUCCCAGGGCUCAACCCUGGAAUUGCAUUCAAGACUAUCUUGCUUGAAUUCGGUAGAGGUUGGUGGAAUUCCCAGUGUAGAGGUGAAAUUCGUAGAGAUUGGGAAGAAUAUCCGUGGCGAAGGCGGCCAACUGGACCGACAUUGACGCUGAGGCGCGAAAGCGUGGGGAGCAAACAGGAUUAGAUACCCCAGUAGUC
rnacentral:rRNA from 1 species